GGGAAGGUGGCUCAGAUGGUUAAGUGUUUGCUUCUCAAGCAUAAAAACCUGGGUUCAAAUCCCCAGCCCUACUU
rnacentral:tRNA from 1 species